rnacentral:rRNA from 1 species
UACGUAGGGUGCGAGCGUUAAUCGGAAUUACUGGGCGUAAAGCGUGCGCAGGCGGUUUUGUAAGCCAGAUGUGAAAUCCCCGGGCUUAACCUGGGAAUGGCAUUUGGGACUGCAAGGCUGGAGUACGGCAGAGGAGACUGGAAUUCCUGGUGUAGCAGUGAAAUGCGUAGAGAUGUGGAGGAAUACCGAUGGCGAAGGCAGCCCCCUGGGAUGAUACUGACGCUCAUGCACGAAAGCGUGGGGAGCAAACAGG